UUCUUGUCUAUGAAAGCAAAGCAUUUCUCUCCUGACUUGCCUGCUAAAUAGGGUGUGUCAGAAAAGGCUUUUUUUGUAGCAUAAGAUAAAUGCUCUUGCAUGAGGAGUCGAACCACAAGACAGUAAAGCUUGGGGGGGCAUUUCUGUCAGGUCCUGGAACAACAGCUGUUGUCCUAAACAUCAGGUUGUGCUGUUGUUAACAGCAACAUUUUGUUGUUUUUUUGGGGAUGUGUUUUGGGGAUGAUGCUGCGAGUAAACAUUGUGAAGUGUUAUGCAUCUAAUUAGGGAUGCAACUGAUAUUGCAGAUUUGGAAUGAUGCUUGGAAAGAUUACAACUGAAAUGAAGGAUGACACAAGAUGCACCGAAGGAUGGCUGAAUAUGAGGACCCAGAAGUGCCACGCUGUUAAGCCUGACAUCAAUGAAUUCCUUGGCAAAGCUCCUAGAACCUACCCAGGAAUUGUUGGUGACACAGCAGACAUGAGGAGAAAUGGCUGCUUUUCUCCAGGCAAGGACGUGACUCGCAGAACGUGAGGAAAAAAUGUCCUGAGAGAAGAUCACUUCUUGUGCUUCCACCAGCAGACUCUACCUGCUGAAAGGCGGAGGUGAGGACGGGAUCUGUAAAAUCUCUGACUCUCUGCGUCUCCCUGAGGCUCACGCCGUGUUUCCUGUCAAUGGUGACGCAGUGGAAGAUGCUGAAGACUGAAAACUUUGUGUUUUUCCCCCUGAAUCCCAAGAGUCUCUCUGCAGCUGUGCCCUGUAGAUCUCCUGGGUUUGGAAAGGUUUUGCAUCCUGCCAUAUUUCUCUAUAACUCAAUAAAAAAGAAUCAAACUGUA